rnacentral:rRNA from 1 species
GACGAACGCUGGCGGCGUGCUUAACACAUGCAAGUCGAACGAUGAAGCUAGAGCUUGCUCUGGUGGAUUAGUGGCGAACGGGUGAGUAACACGUGAGUAACCUGCCCCGAACUCUGGGAUAACUGCUGGAAGCGGUAGCUAAUACCGGAUAUGACCAAUGAAGGCAUCUUCUGUUGGUGGAAAGAAUUUCGGUUCGGGAUGGACUCGCGGCCUAUCAGCUUGUUGGUGAGGUAACGGCUCACCAAGGCGACGACGGGUAGCCGGCCUGAGAGGGUGAUCGGCCACACUGGGACUGAGACACGGCCCAGACUCCUACGGGAGGCAGCAGUGGGGAAUAUUGCACAAUGGGCGCAAGCCUGAUGCAGCAACGCCGCGUGAGGGACGACGGCCUUCGGGUUGUAAACCUCUUUUAGUAGGGAAGAAGCGAAAGUGACGGUACCUGCAGAAAAAGCACCGGCUAACUACGUGCCAGCCGCCGCCGUAA